AAGCUCGUAGUUGAAUUUCGGGACCAGUAUGUUGGUCGUGCUUUAGUACGUACUGUCAUUACUGGUUUCUCUCUUCUGAAGAACCUUGAUGUCAUUAAUUUGGUGUCUUGGGAAAUCAGGACUGUUACUUUGAAAAAAUUAGAGUGUUUAAAGCAGGCAUACGCUUGAAUACAUUAGCAUGGAAUAAUGAAAUAGGACGUUUGAUUCUAUUUUGUUGGUUUCUAGGAUCGACGUAAUGAUUAAUAGGGAUAGUUGGG
rnacentral:rRNA from 1 species